CCUACGGGUGGCUGCAGUGGGGAAUAUUGGACAAUGGGCGAAAGCCUGAUCCAGCCAUGCCGCGUGUGUGAAGAAGGCCUUCGGGUUGUAAGGCACUUUCAGUGGGGAAGAAAGCCUUGGGGCUAAUACCCUCGAGGAAGGACAUCACCCACAGAAGAAGCACCGGCUAACUCCGUGCCAGCAGCCGCGGUAAUACGGAGGGUGCGAGCGUUAAUCGGAAUUACUGGGCGUAAAGCGCGCGUAGGCGGUCUGAUAAGCCGGUUGUGAAAGCCCCGGGCUCAACCUGGGAACGGCAUCCGGAACUGUCAGGCUAGAGUGCAGGAGAGGAAGGUAGAAUUCCCGGUGUAGCGGUGAAAUGCGUAGAGAUCGGGAGGAAUACCAGUGGCGAAGGCGGCCUUCUGGACUGACACUGACGCUGAGGUGCGAAAGCGUGGGUAGCAAACAGGAUUAGAUACCCGUGUAGUC
rnacentral:rRNA from 1 species